AUCGCUUCUCAGCCUUUUGGCUAAGAUCAUGUGUAGUAUCUUUCUUAUCAGUUUAAUAUCUGGUAUGUUCCUCAUUUGUAUUAAAUUGAUUUUUGGGCUCAAGUUUUCUUUUUUGUUUGUUUUUGGAUGAGAGAAUUGAGUACAUCCUCAGUAACUUCGCAGAUGACACCAAGCUGGGGGGAAGUGUCAAUCUGCC